AUAGCUGAACAUGACUCAGAUGUGCUUGAUACUUUAUUACUGGAAAACUAUACUAUCAAAGUUCUAGACAAUGAUUUGGUUUUACCUGUAAAUUUGUCAAUGUCUGAGGAGAAAAUACUCAGAUGUGCUUGAUACUUUAUUCCUACACUCUUGAACUUUACAGCAGCAAUAUUGGAGUUCGGCACAUCAGUGAGGGCGUGGUUGUAUGGCAAGUUCAUACAUAUCAUGUGUACCCCCUUGGAAACUGGGUGGAAAACUUGAAGCCCUCCAAUGACCUAAAGCUGAGGGUUGUAAAAGGGGCAUGUGUACAGUCAUUAGUUGAGGCGCAAAAAUAAGACUUAAAACCACAUAGAAAGAUUUGAAAUCCAUAUGGGAAAUGGCUGGUGAGUGAAAUCAAAGUAGAGAUAAGAGAGGUUGGUGAAAUUUCAAGAGAGGAUAUAAUUUUAUUUCUGAGCUCAGACAUGUUAAGGUGUUGUAAAGUUAAUUUGGUGAGAGAUGCAACAUUCUCUAUCAUACUAUCAUGUUUCAUUCUUAAAUUCACAAGUUUGAUGUAACUGAUAUGAAAUUAGUGAUAGUGAAUGUUCAUCUCUCACCAAAUUUAUUCACUUGGCAUGUCUUCGUUGUAGGUCUUCUCUUGGAAACUUAAACUCCCAGUUCCUUCUCUACUUUGAUUAUAAUGAUUUCACUAAUCAGCCAUUUCCCAUCUGAUUUCAAAUCUUACAUCUUUGGUUCUCCUCUCACUUUACAAUUGCAAUUUCCAUGAUUCGAGAUGUGUACAGUUAUUGUUAGAGGCAGAGGACUUUGGAUAGUCAGGUUUUGAUGGAAAAACAUCAAAGACAAUUCCGUGUCUUUUUUUUUGAUGUACUUCUUCUUCCAUUUUGAAUAAAUUUUUACCCCUCUUUAUUGUCAAAAUUGACGCUGACUAUGAACCCAUUAACAUUGAGUGCUGGUUUGAUGCAAUGAAAGAAAAAAUGCCACACUGUUGCACUGGCUGAUGUGGAUUGUAACAGGGACGAGUUUGCCAAGUUGCACACAUUUCUGACUUUGAGUCUCGUGACUCCAAAUAAAAGGGAACAUGUUCGUGGGUUGAGAGACUCUGUCGCCUGUUAUUCCAAAAUGGGUUUCCACCUGUGUAUGUAAUGAAAUUGGAUAAUGCAGUCAUUGAGUUAUUUCCCGUGAAACCAGGGAAGAUAGACAUAAAUGCAAUGCGGAUGACAAUUAUAAUUUGUCUCAUGACCAGACUUAUAAUACAUGAUGCAGUGCAUGCCAACUAAUUCCUACAAUUCUAAAGUCUAACCAGACUUAAAGAUAAUGAAGAGGACUCUAUGAUGAAUAUAUGUCACAUAUGAUGAAAGGACAAACAGCUGAAAGCUGCUUGUAUGCAGGUGACAUUUCAACCAUUUAAUUAUGUUCAUGCAAGUGUUGUUUUCUUUGGACACAUCCUGCCACACAAAAGCAAAAGCAGUACAAUUGUUGAAAUGUUUCAGUGUUUGAAUAAUAAUUAAAGGUGAGAUUCAUAUCAA